GCGGCUUAACACAUGCAAGUCGAGGGGUAGGGGCUUUCGGGCCUUGAGACCGGCGCACGGGUGCGUAACGCGUAUGCAAUCUGCCUUUCACAGAGGGAUAGCCCAGAGAAAUUUGGAUUAAUACCUCAUAGCAUAACCAAACCGCAUGGUUUGAUUAUUAAAGUCACAACGGUGAAAGAUGAGCAUGCGUCCCAUUAGCUAGUUGGUAAGGUAACGGCUUACCAAGGCGACGAUGGGUAGGGGUCCUGAGAGGGAGAUCCCCCACACUGGUACUGAGACACGGACCAGACUCCUACGGGAGGCAGCAGUGAGGAAUAUUGGUCAAUGGACGCAAGUCUGAACCAGCCAUGCCGCGUGCAGGAUGACGGUCCUAUGGAUUGUAAACUGCUUUUGCACAGGAAGAAACACUCCGACGUGUCGGAGCUUGACGGUACUGUGAGAAUAAGGAUCGGCUAACUCCGUGCCAGCAGCCGCGGUAAUACGGAGGGAUCCAAGCGUUAUCCGGAAUCAUUGGGUUUAAAGGGUCCGUAGGCGGUCUUGUAAGUCAGUGGUGAAAGCCCAUCGCUCAACGGUGGAACGGCCAUUGAUACUGCAGGACUUGAAUUAUUGGGAAGUAACUAGAAUAUGUAGUGUAGCGGUGAAAUGCUUAGAGAUUACAUGGAAUACCAAUUGCGAAGG
rnacentral:rRNA from 1 species